UACGUAGGUGGCAAGCGUUUGUCCGGAAUUACUGGGCGUAAAGGGCGUGUAGGCGGCCUUUUAAGUCAGGCGUGAAAUCCAUGGGCUUAACCCAUGAAUUGCGUUUGAAACUGAAGGGCUUGAGGAUCGGAGAGGGCAGUGGAAUUCCCAGUGUAGCGGUGAAAUGCGUAGAUAUUGGGAGGAACACCAGUGGCGAAGGCGACUGCCUGGACGACACCUGACGCUGAGGCGCGAAAGCUAGGGGAGCAAACGGGG
rnacentral:rRNA from 1 species